UUAUUUUAUAUUUCAAUUUAUAGUAAACUAUCAUUUGCCUCCCUGUGGUGGUUUGCCUUAAAUUGCACUUUGCCUCUCUAUCCUCUUUUGCAGUAUAGCUCCCUGUGGUUGCAUUUCAUCACGCUUUGCCAACGUCAGUUGACCGUUACUUGACUGUUAGUGUGAGGGCUAGGAUGGUAAUUUCACAUAUCAAUCUUGUUGAAGACUUUUGAUACCUCCCUUAUCAAGUUAUCAUCAUAUCAUUUCAGUCUGACACCCAAACUUUACUCUCCUUUAACAAUCCACCACAUACACUCCAGUCAACAUCACGCAUCGUCGGCAACGAAGCUGUUGUUGCCGCCGAUCAUGGAGUUUAGUCUGGAGGUCCAAAAUGAAUCAGUACAUGGUAAAUUUACUUAUCGAUUUCGUUAAUGGUACUUGCUGGAGCAGGGUCAAUGAGACUCAAAACCAGCGCACCGUGGUCCGAGUGACGGUGGUUCUCUGAUGGUUGAACAACCUAGCCUUCUCCGGUUCGCCCUGUCAUUACCACAACAAUCACUACCCCCAUAACCACAGAGCAGUAGCAAUGCCCUCACUACCUUCUCCGGUUCGCCAUCACCACAACAAAGCAAUGCCAUCACCACCCGCCUUUACCAAGACUAGUAUAAGACUAGUAUGGUUAUUUUGAUAGGUGUAAUUAUUACUUUAAGUUAGUUAUGUUAGUUUUUGGAAAAAUUAAAAAAAGUCUUUCUAUAUCAUUUUCUGUAAUUAUGGUAUGAAUAUGUUGAAUGGUUUGAAUAUGUAUAAUUAUGGUUCAUAUUGUGUUAAUUUGGUUAAUCUCUACUAAACAAGUUCAUUUUAUUGGUUAAUUGUGUGUUCAUUGUGUUAAAUAAACAACAUUGUAGAGUAGUUGCAUUUGUUGGUUAAUUGUUUUAAUAAAGUGGCAAUAAGUGUAGUUGAAUGCAGGCUGAGGUUUGAUGUUGUUGAUAUAGGUUUGAUGUUCACAGGGGUUCGCAGGGUUUGAUGUUCACAAGGGUUCACAUGGUAGGUUUGAUGUUCACAUGGGUUCACAGGGUAGGGGGGUUCAAAAAUUACCUAAUCAAUUUAGUGAUCAAAUCAGUUAGUGGGGUAGUGUGCUAAUCUGUGGGUUUAAAAUAUGUAGUUUAAAUAAUGUAUGUGAAACUAAGAGAUAGAAAUGUAAAGUCAAAUAUCAGAAUGUUAUUUAGGAUGUUAGGAUAUUGCUCAGAAUAUCAGGAUAUGAGAAUAAAGGAAAAGCAAUAGACAAUACUCGAUGUUACGAGGAAAACCCUUGAUCUAUUGAAAUCGUCGACAUAACACCUCGGGCGCCGACUGAAAAUUCGUAUGUCACAGUCUUUACUAUUAAAUAUAUACAAAGAUUACAACUAGAGAACUAUUCUGAUCGAUAAUACAAUGAUUGCUAGUGUAAGUGCUUGUGAAUGUGACUUUGCAAGUGAGUUGCAAGAGCUAGUAUUAGUAAUAGCCGAAGUAAGAGUGUAAUGAAGUGUGUAACGUGCCUGACCUAUUAGAUUAGCCUCAUUAUAUAGUUCAAAAAUCUAACUAAACAUCUCGAAAUUUCUGGGAUACACCAACUAUUCCAUUGUGAACGUUUGAGACUUCUUCAACUAUGUCCCACAAUCGUUCUUUAACCAUACGUCCGGGUCUUUAGCUUAACUUAGUCAUUUUUAUUUAUUCCCUGCAAUAAUUAAAAAAACACGUGCAAGAAAUAAAUUAGUGAAAUAUAAGAAAUAGGUUCAGGAUAUCAAAUCUAUCAGCUAUGUCGGGAUGUCAGCCUUAGUUUAGAAUAUUAACUAAAGAUUCUGUGACAUCCGGGAUUUCAGGUUAACUACAUUAACACAACUUCGUUAUCUUUAACGCUAUCACAAAAAUUCAUUAUUACAUUACACUUGAUUAGGGUUAAUUAUGUGUGUCGGUUAGUACACGAAUACCCACAUAAUGGUAAUUCGGUGAAUUAACCGAAUUAUCAAACCGCACAUGAGCCUGUCCCCGUACGUUGGUGAUUAAGUGAAAUAAUAAUUCUGGAAAAGUUAAAUGAAUAUAUUAUUUGAAUUUAUAUGCUUUUCGGUAUCUACGUGUAUUGUGUGUAAUUUAAGUCAACUUUCAUGAAAUCGUGUGCUUUUACGUGUAAUUGCUUGGUUUCGUGUUUUACUAUAAUUUGUCAUAUUUAGAAAAAUUAAACUUGGGGAAUUUUAUUUAAUAAUACAUAUUAUUAGAAAACAGGCUAAGGGGAUCCAAAAAGCUCAUUACUAGAACCCAUGGACUCCCCUUAUUACUAAAGU
rnacentral:lncRNA from 1 species